rnacentral:rRNA from 1 species
UACGUAGGGUGCGAGCGUUUGUCCGGAAUUAUUGGGCGUAAAGAGCUCGUAGGCGGUCUGUCGCGUCGAUCGUGAAAACUUGGGGCUUAACCCUGAGCUUGCGGUCGAUACGGGCAUGACUGGAGUUCGGCAGGGGAGACUGGAAUCCUGGUGUAGCGGUGAAAUGCGCAGAGUAUCAGGAGGAACACCGGGUGGCGAAGGCGGGAUCUCUGG